ensembl:lncRNA
GGCGGGAAAUAGCGAGUGAGUUGUGUGUGGAAAGUCUGCUGUAUUUUAGAAAUACUCGUCAGAAAAAGCAACUGAGUGACUGCUGCCACUCAUGGACACGUUUGUGAGAGGAAAAUUGUCUGAAUGGCAGCUUGAAAAUCUUAUAGACACCUUUAAAGCUGCUAAAGAGGAGACAGCUUUGAAGGUCCUGCCAACUCUGCUUCCCCCAUCCAUCUACAGGAGAGGAGGAAAGGUCUUCAGACCCACCACAGAGGAGGCCCAGAAGUCAUUUAUUGACAUGCAACCUGUUGGGACCAACAUGGUUGAAUAUUUAAACCAUGAGAUGACUGGAGCAUUGCUGCACAUUCUGUGCCUCAGUGAUGAGACAAGGGGGACAUCACAGACCUUUGCCAUUAUUCCAGGCCACGCCAUUGAGACUGUGUCUUUGUUGGAGGCAGUUGAUCUUUGCUUUAAAGCUUUUUUUGUUUUUGAUGUUCAGUACACCAAGCAGUGUCUCCCCACCUGGGAGUUUCUCCAGCAUGCUGUAUAUCAAAUUGAAGGAAAAAAGUCCUCCUCUGUAAAGUUUUUGAGGACAACAGUGGUCUCAGGCUCACAUGAUAUGUAGAUGAUUUUAAAAUGUAUUUUGUUGCUGUUCUUAAAUCAACACAUCUUAAUAAAUUAAAUUGUAAUCGUAUGAGAGUUCAAAUUAGUUGUUUAAUGACUUUUAAUGCCUGAAUAUUUGGACAGAUUUACAUUUGUUAUAAAGUCUGUGGGGAAGGGUGAAUGUCAGAGGGUGUG